rnacentral:rRNA from 1 species
GGAAUCUUGGACAAUGGGGGCAACCCUGAUCCAGCGACGCCGCGUGGGUGAUGAAGGCCUUCGGGUUGUAAAGCCCUUUCACCGGGGACGAUGAUGACGGUAGCGGGAGAAGAAGCCCCGGCUAACUCCGUGCCAGCAGCCGCGGUAAUACGGAGGGGGCUAGCGUUGUUCGGAAUUACUGGGCGUAAAGGGCGCGUAGGCGUUAUGUCAAGUCAGGGGUGAAAGGCCGGGGCUCAACCCAGGAAUUGCCUUUGAAACUGGCAAACUAGAGUCCGAAAGAGGAUGGCGGAAUUCCCAGUGUAGAGGUGAAAUUCGUAGAUAUUGGGAAGAACACCGGUGGCGAAGGCGGCCAUCUGGAUCGGCACUGACGCUGAGGCGCGAAAGCGUGGGGAGCAAAC